GACGAACGCUGGCGGCGUGCUUAACACAUGCAAGUCGAACGAUGAAGCCGGAGCUUGCUCCGGUGGAUUAGUGGCGAACGGGUGAGUAACACGUGAGCAAUCUGCCCUUGACUCUGGGAUAACUGCGGGAAACUGUAGCUAAUACCGGAUACGACACCUUGGGGCAUCCCAGGGUGUGGAAAAAAUUUCGGUCAAGGAUGAGCUCGCGGCCUAUCAGCUAGUUGGUGAGGUAAUGGCUCACAAAGGCGACGACGGGUAGCCGGCCUGAGAGGGUGACCGGCCACACUGGAACUGAGACACGGUCCAGACUCCUACGGGAGGCAGCAGUGGGGAAUAUUGCACAAUGGGCGAAAGCCUGAUGCAGCAACGCCGCGUGAGGGAUGAAGGCCUUCGGGUUGUAAACCUCUUUUAGCAGGGAAGAAGCGAAAGUGACGGUACCUGCAGAAAAAGCACCGGCUAACUACGUGCCAGCCGCCGCUGUAA
rnacentral:rRNA from 1 species